rnacentral:rRNA from 1 species
AACGAACGCUGGCGGCAUGCCUAACACAUGCAAGUCGAACGAGACCUUCGGGUCUAGUGGCGCACGGGUGCGUAACGCGUGGGAAUCUACCCAAAGGUACGGAAUAACUCUCCGAAAGGAGUGCUAAUACCGUAUGAUGUCGCAAGACCAAAGAUUUAUCGCCUUUGGAUGAGCCCGCGUAGGAUUAGCUUGUUGGUGAGGUAAAGGCUCACCAAGGCGACGAUCCUUAGCUGGUCUGAGAGGAUGAUCAGCCACACUGGGACUGGGACACGGCCCAGACCCCUACGGGAGGCAGCAGUGGGGAAUAUUGGACAAUGGGCGAAAGCCUGAUCCAGCAAUGCCGCGUGAGUGAUGAAGGCCUUAGGGUUGUAAAGCUCUUUUACCCGGGAAGAUAAUGACUGUACCGGGAGAAUAAGCCCCGGCUAACUCCGUGCCAGCAGCCGCAGUAA